rnacentral:piRNA from 1 species
UGUGGCACAUUCCAAGAGUCCCCAGG